GGCGGCAUGCUUAACAUGCAAGUCGAACGGCAGCACGGGUGCUUGCACCUGGUGGCGAGUGGCGAACGGGUGAGUAAUACAUCGGAACAUGUCCUGUAGUGGGGGAUAGCCCGGCGAAAGCCGGAUUAAUACCGCAUACGAUCUACGGAUGAAAGCGGGGGACCUUCGGGCCUCGCGCUAUAGGGUUGGCCGAUGGCUGAUUAGCUAGUUGGUGGGGUAAAGGCCUACCAAGGCGACGAUCAGUAGCUGGUCUGAGAGGACGACCAGCCACACUGGGACUGAGACACGGCCCAGACUCCUACGGGAGGCAGCAGUGGGGAAUUUUGGACAAUGGGCGAAAGCCUGAUCCAGCAAUGCCGCGUGUGUGAAGAAGGCCUUCGGGUUGUAAAGCACUUUUGUCCGGAAAGAAAUCCUUGGCUCUAAUACAGUCGGGGGAUGACGGUACCGGAAGAAUAAGCACCGGCUAACUACGUGCCAGCAGCCGCGGUAAUACGUAGGGUGCGAGCGUUAAUCGGAAUUACUGGGCGUAAAGCGUGCGCAGGCGGUUUGCUAAGACCGAUGUGAAAUCCCCGGGCUCAACCUGGGAACUGCAUUGGUGACUGGCAGGCUAGAGUAUGGCAGAGGGGGGUAGAAUUCCACGUGUAGCAGUGAAAUGCGUAGAGAUGUGGAGGAAUACCGAUGGCGAAGGCAGCCCCCUGGGCCAAUACUGACGCUCAUGCACGAAAGCGUGGGGAGCAAACAGGAUUAGAUACCCUGGUAGUCCACGCCCUAAACGAUGUCAACUAGUUGUUGGGGAUUCAUUUCCUUAGUAACGUAGCUAACGCGUGAAGUUGACCGCCUGGGGAGUACGGUCGCAAGAUUAAAACUCAAAGGAAUUGACGGGGACCCGCACAAGCGGUGGAUGAUGUGGAUUAAUUCGAUGCAACGCGAAAAACCUUACCUACCCUUGACAUGGUCGGAAUCCCGCUGAGAGGUGGGAGUGCUCGAAAGAGAACCGGCGCACAGGUGCUGCAUGGCUGUCGUCAGCUCGUGUCCUGAGAUGUUGGGUUAAGUCCCGCAACGAGCGCAACCCUUGU
rnacentral:rRNA from 1 species